AGCAGCCGCGGUAAUUCCAGCUCCAAUAGCGUAUAUUAAAGUUGUUGCAGUUAAAAAGCUCGUAGUUGAAUUUCGGGGUCAGUAGGUCGGUCGUGCCACUGGUAUGAACUGGUUUUACUGAUUCCUCCCUCUUGAAGAACUGUAAUGCCAUUAAUUUGGUGUUGCAGGGAAUCAGGACUGUUACUUUGAAAAAUUAGAGUGUUUAAAGCAGGCUUUAGCUUGAAUACAUUAGCAUGGAAUAAUGAAAUAGGACGUUUGAUCCUAUUUUGUUGGUUUCUAGGAUUGACGUAAUGAUUAAUAGGGAUAGUUGGGGGCAUUAGUAUUCAAUUGUCAGAGGUGAAAUUCUUGGAUUUAUUGAAGACUAACUACUGCGAAAGCAUUUGCCAAGGAUGUUUUCAUUAAUCAAGAACGAAAGUUAGGGGAUCGAAGACGAUCAGAUACCGUCGUAGUCUUAACCAUAAACUAUAGCCGACUAGGGAUCGGAUGAUGUAAUUUUUAAUGACUCAUUCGGCGCCUUACG
rnacentral:rRNA from 1 species